GAAUUAUUGGGCGUAAGCGCGCGCAGGUGGUUUCUUAAGUCUGAUGUGAAAGCCCACGGCUCAACCGUGGAGGGUCAUUGGAAACUGGGAGACUUGAGUGCAGAAGAGGAAAGUGGAAUUCCAUGUGUAGCGGUGAAAUGCGUAGAGAUAUGGAGGAACACCAGUGGCGAAGGCGACUUUCUGGUCUGUAACUGACACUGAGGCGCGAAAGCGUGGGGAGCAAACAGGAUUAGAUACCCUGGUAGUCCACGCCGUAAACGAUGAGUGCUAAGUGUUAGAGGGUUUCCGCCCUUUAGUGCUGAACUUAACGCAUUAAGCACUCCGCCUGGGGAGUACGGCCGCAAGGCUGAAACUCAAAGGAAUUGACGGGGGCCCGCACAAGCGGUGGAGCAUGUGGUUUAAUUCGAACCAACGCGAAGAACCUUACCAGGUCUUGACAUCCU
rnacentral:rRNA from 1 species